UUGUAUACACGUCGAUCAUAUCAUUCUGUUUCAUCCGUCGUACUCAUUUGUUAUUUCUAUAGCAAUCACAAUAAAAUAUUACAAGCCUCGUGCAUCCAUUGUCGUAUCACUCGUACACUAUACAUUCACGAACUAUUAAUCUAAAGUUCUCGCUACUCCGACCCGAACACACACACAUACGCAUACAUAUUAUAAAGUGAGGAGACGAGUCCACCGCGACGACGGCGUUUCCCCGCGUCGGGACUUUUGCAUUUUAUAGAUUAAACCGACUGCGGCGUGUGUGCGUGCGCGUGGCCGAGGGUGGCGUCGCGCCCCUUCCCGCACAUUAUUAGCUGCCGCAGCAGCAGCCCUUCGCGGCGGUGCGCACAGCAUCGGAGGCCCGGCAGAAGGACCACGUCUCUCGGAGGACCCUCACGUCGGCUGUGGACCGCUGCAUCCGCUGUACGCAUCAUAUCCGCUCGUCUGCUGCGCUACUCUCACUCGCCGCCGCCCGCCGUGGUCCAUCCGCACGUCAACGGUCACGUCAGCAAUGUAACGCAUCCGUGAUCUACCCUGUAGAUCCGGGCUUUUGUAGAAUAAUCGAUACGUUCAGAAGCUCGUCUCUACAGGUAUCUUACGGAUGGAAGUUUACCCCGACCCGCGGCGGCACCAAAUUGGAUGGACGGAAGCCACGACGCCCGAGUUCUAUAGUACCUAUAUACAACAUAUUAUUAUUAGUUGAUUCAAAAACGUACUUUGAGCCAUGACCGUCACCGCGUCCUACGACGAUGUCAAUGGUAGAUAUGAUGGUUACGAAACACGUUUCCUUUUCGCUAUACGCACGUUAUCCUUUCGAAAUUAUAACACUUAAUAUUAUAGUUUUUCCGGAAUAACGUUUUGUCUAAUAUCCGUGCAAUUUCUUCUAUUUAGAAUAAAAUAUAGUGUUAAUCAUCCACCCUCGUCCAAACUCACCGGUUUAAUUGUGGUUCUUAUGGCUAUACUCAUUAAUAUUUUAUAAUACGUAUAAAUUAACUCGGUAAUUAACUUAUAACUUGAAAAAUAUCUUCAUGACUUAACGCAGUGUCUUUGUUACUUAUUAUGUUUUUAUGAUUAUACACUUAUACCUAUAUAGUCGUAUUGAUGCUAUAAAGAUAUACGCGGUUGUCGCGAUUGGAGUUCAAUAUUGAAUAUUCCGUAUAUCGUUUAAUCCGUAAACCAUAAUAAUAUGGUGUGUUUGUGUUUAUUAUUUAUUACAAUAAACUAUGUUUUUUUUUUUAAUACAUGAAAUUUAUCUACAGAAAAUGUUCAUAUUUUUCGUUUUUAUUUUAUUUUAUUGUAUCAUAAUAUACCUUUAGUCCAAGACCAUUAUUCUAGAAUAUAAAAAAGUUUGAAUUUGUUUAUUAUCCUAUCCUUAAUAUACUAAAUAGUUCUAAAACUAUUUUUAGCGUAAAAAUUUGUUUUAAUUUAAAUUUUUGUAUAUUUUUGUUUAUUUUACUUUUAAGCGAAUUUUGUUUUAACUUUCAGUGUAAUAAAUAAAUAAACUGUUAUUU